UACGUAGGGUGCAAGCGUUAAUCGGAAUUACUGGGCGUAAAGCGUGCGCAGGCGGUUAUGUAAGACAGAUGUGAAAUGCCCGGGCUUAACCUGGGAACUGCAUUUGUGACUGCAUGGCUAGAGUUUGGCAGAGGGGGUAGAAUUCCACGUGUAGCAGUGAAAUGCGUAGAUAUGUGGAGGAACACCGAUGGCGAAGGCAGCCCCUGGGUCAAGACUGACGCUCAUGCACGAAAGCGUGGGAGCAACAGG
rnacentral:rRNA from 1 species